rnacentral:rRNA from 1 species
AGCGAACGCUGGCGGCAGGCUUAACACAUGCAAGUCGAGCGGGCAUCUUCGGAUGUCAGCGGCAGACGGGUGAGUAACACGUGGGAACGUACCCUUCGGUUCGGAACAACUCUGGGAAACUGGAGCUAAUACCGGAUACGCCCUUAUGGGGAAAGCUUUACUGCCGCAGGAUCGGCCCGCGUCUGAUUAGCUAGUGGGUGGGGUAACGGCCUACCAAGGCGACGAUCAGUAGCUGGUCUGAGAGGAUGAGCAGCCACACUGGGACUGAGGCACGGCCCAGACUCCUACGGGAGGCAGCAGUGGGGAAUAUUGGACAAUGGGCGCAAGCCUGAUCCAGCCAGGCCGCGUGAGUGAUGAAGGCCUUAGGGUUGUAAAGCUCUUUUGUCCGGGACGAUAAUGACGGUACCGGAAGAAUAAGCCCCGGCUAACUUCGUG